GCAACUUUGGCCGAGUGGUUAAGGCGCUAGACUCAAGAGUCUCCUCUUCACUGAAUACAGUGAGCAUUCUAGUCACGAAAGUGGCGUGGGUUCGAGUCCCACAGGUUGCA
rnacentral:tRNA from 1 species